UCGAACUGGCAACAUUGUUUCUCGACUCGGUUCAAUUCGAUUUUAUGUGACCUAAACACACUCAUGGCAAUGUUAAUUUGCCUCAAUUGAAUACUUGAAUAUUGAGCAGACAGAGAAAUACAGCACGGACAUUUUCAGAACCACGACAAGAAGCCUGCAAACAUCUAAUUGGAAGUGGAAGUCCUCUCGCUGUUCCAACUUCUGGCUGCUCUACCCAAAUGCCGGCAGAUGCCAGGGCAGGAUCAGCCAGUGGCGGCUUCCCGCAUGCGCAAUUCAUUUGCAGUCCGGACGAGGAGGGUUUGAACAUCUCCUGCUCUGAUUGCAGCUGGGAGGGACUGCUGCACGAGGACUGCGCCGCCUGUGAGUGCUUUGGGACAGGCCCACCCGCUGCUCAUUGAGAAGAGUAAGAACGAUAUGUGCUUUCAAGUCAGUCUCCAAAAGUCUCCAAUAACACCAGAAAAAGUCACUCGAUUUGUCGCUAGUCACAUUUUUGAAAAUGUGUCACUAGAGGGGUCUGAAUAAUCGCUAAAUAUAGCGACAAAGUCGCUAAAUUGGCAACACUGCUACCAACUCGCUCGGAGUGCCCUCUAUUGUCACGUGUUGCUGACAUAACUCAGAAGGUAACUUCCAGAGUGGUGCUUUGGCAAAAAAAAAAAAAAACUUUUAUUUAACUAGGCAAGUCAGUUAAGAACAAAUUAUUAUUUACAAUGACGGCCUACCCAAUAAAGUCCCUUGAAUUGAGUGGUGAGAGGAUCUGCCACGCCCUGACCUUAGAGCAGUAGCGUGCCGUGGUUCUGGGGCCUGGGCCUUCAGUGAAGUCCUACACAGUCCCACCCAAAUUAAUCCACCUCUUAUUACCAUCAUUAUGAUGCCAUGGCUCUAGACACUAUACAUUUAGACAGAAACGCAGUAUAACCAGGCGUUGCGUCACCUUGAAAUUGACAUUUUUAUUCAGAGAAUUGCAGGGGAAGAGUACAAUACCUUUUCAUUGUGCAGCUUCGUUGCCCUGCGCGCUUGUUUGUUGAGCUGUAGAUCCACUCGGGUGUCCCCAAAAGUUUUCAAAAGCACCAUUGUUUGUAAGUGCUGUAAUAGACAUAUUAAACGCAUGUAAUAACGCAUUCACUGACUGUUGUCUGCCUGUGGCCUAACCAUGCAAUUGUGGCUUGCACACUGUGUCAUAACCCUACCCUCCCCCUGUUCUUCUGUAGAUACUAAUCGCACUGGUACAACCCUGUACGGGUGGCUGACUGAGAUAACACAUAUACUGAACAUAUACACUGAAAUUCCUAAAAUACAAACACCCGACGACCCCCAUCGGGAUGGACUCCAAAGACAAAGAACUCUGUCGAGAACCAAUGGGAUACGGACACCAGGCUGGAGGGGACUGUCUAUCACCUACAAGCAACCUACCAGAAGCCAGUACUACCAGAAUCUACCUACAUCAUUUUAAUGUAUUAAAAGGACUGCACAUCAUGUUUCGGCCUCUUUUCCGACAGUUCCAUAAGAACUAGACGAAGGAGCCGUGCAGCACGUUUUGCCAGACAUCAUCACGCAUUGAAUAAACGGUCUUUUAUUAUACCUUA